rnacentral:tRNA from 1 species
AUUUAUAUAGUUUAAAUUAUAAAACAUUACAUUUUCAUUGUAAAAUUAAAAUAAAUAAUCAUUUUUAUAAAUA